GACGAACGCUGGCGGCGUGCUUAACACAUGCAAGUCGAACGGAAAGGCCCUGCUUUUGUGGGGUGCUCGAGUGGCGAACGGGUGAGUAACACGUGAGUAACCUGCCCUUGACUUUGGGAUAACUUCAGGAAACUGGGGCUAAUACCGGAUAGGAGCUCCUGCUGCAUGGUGGGGGUUGGAAAGUUUCGGCGGUUGGGGAUGGACUCGCGGCUUAUCAGCUUGUUGGUGGGGUAGUGGCUUACCAAGGCUUUGACGGGUAGCCGGCCUGAGAGGGUGACCGGCCACAUUGGGACUGAGAUACGGCCCAGACUCCUACGGGAGGCAGUAGUGGGGAAUAUUGCACAAUGGGCGGAAGCCUUAUGCAGCAACGCCGCGUGCGGGAUGACGGCCUUCGGGUUGUAAACCGCUUUCGCCUGUGACGAAGCGUGAGUGACGGUAAUGGGUAAAGAAGCACCGGCUAACUACGUG
rnacentral:rRNA from 1 species